rnacentral:rRNA from 1 species
GUGAACGCUGGCGGCAGGCCUAACACAUGCAAGUCGAGCGGCCGUAGCAAUACAGCAGCGGCAGACGGGAUAGUAACACGUGGGAACGUGCCCUUUGGUUCGGAAUAACUCGGCGAAAGCCGUGCUAAUACCGGAUAAGCCCUUACGGGGAAAGAUUUAUCGCCAUUGGAGCGGCCCGCGUCUGAUUAGCUUGUUGGUGAGGUAACGGCUCACCAAGGCGACGAUCAGUAGCUGGUCUGAGAGGAUGAUCAGCCACAUUGGGACUGAGACACGGCCCAAACUCCUACGGGAGGCAGCAGUGGGGAAUAUUGGACAAUGGGCGAAAGCCUGAUCCAGCCAUGCCGCGUGAGUGAUGAAGGCCCUAGGGUUGUAAAGCUCUUUUGUGCGGGAAGAUAAUGACGGUACCGCAAGAAUAAGCCCCGGCUAACUUCGU